UACGGGGGGGCUAGCGUUGUUCGGAAUUACUGGGCGUAAAGGGCGCGUAGGCGGUCUGCUAAGUUGGAUGUGAAAACUCUGGGCUUAACCCAGAGCCUGCAUUCAAUACUGACAGGCUAGAGUUCUGGAGGGGAUAGCGGAAUUCCUGGUGUAGCGGUGAAAUGCGUAGAUAUCAGGAGGAACACCGGUGGCGAAGGCGGCUAUCUGGACAGAGUCUGACGCUGAGGCGCGAAAGCUAGGGGAGCAAACAGG
rnacentral:rRNA from 1 species